rnacentral:rRNA from 1 species
UACGGAGGGUGCAAGCGUUAUCCGGAUUCACUGGGUUUAAAGGGUGCGUAGGAGGGCAGGUAAGUCAGUGGUGAAAUCUCCAAGCUUAACUUGGAAACUGCCGUUGAUACUAUCUGUCUUGAAUAUUGUGGAGGUGAGCGGAAUAUGUCAUGUAGCGGUGAAAUGCUUAGAUAUGACAUAGAACACCAAUUGCGAAGGCAGCUCACUACACAAUCAUUGACUCUGAAGCACGAAAGCGUGGGGAUCAAACAGG